GUGGCAUAUGAAGCGAAAGGCCCUUUUCGACUGCUAUGUGCAUUUUUUGACUAGUCAUAGAUAACAGUCUGAAAGGGCCUUUUGGCUCAGAUG
rnacentral:pre_miRNA from 1 species